AUUGUGGCCCUGAAUGGCCUAGAAUUUGCUAUGUAGACAAGGCUGAUCUCAAACAGAGACCUGCAUCUGUCUGCCAAGUGCUGGGAUUCAAGAUCAAACUUGACAGUGGGCCCAGGGCCUUGAGCAGUCAAGCUUCCCUUCCUGAGUACAGGCCCUCUUGGGCCCCUCCCUGGAUCCCUGUGCUGGCUCUGCCUUGCAUAGGAAUCAUUGACAACAGUUCGCAGCAGUCUGGCUUCACCUUUGGAUCACUGCCCUUCUGCCAUGGUGGCCUCUUCGCAAGAUCAACCCGCUUCAUCUGGUCUUCGAGCUCUAAAUGGUCUCCCCCGCUGUCAUCUCCAAGACCCUGAGGUUUCAGCACCACACCCAACUGCAUGGAGCCUGCUCUACGCAGGCCUCCCUGUAGGCUCACCACAGCCUCUUCCCUUCGCAGCCACAGCUGUGGUCUCUCGCUCUCAGCACCAAAGAUAUUAAGAUGGGCAUCCUGUAACCCACUGCAGAACUGCUCCCCAGAACCAGCAUCCCCGGAUGCUCCCCACUUGCUCAAAGUCCUCAGUGAUGGCGAUGCACACUAGGACCAUAGCAUCCUGAGGGGCGAUUAGAUGGGCCCUGAGCUCUGUCCCUUGGGAAACAAAAAUGGCCUUCAGAGCUGAGCCCAGGGCAGCUUCCUCUCAGAAGCCCUGAGCUGUGGUAUUAGGAAACUGAGACUCCCUCUGCCCUGGGCAGCUUUCCUGAGGCUUGGGGACCAGCUGGCAUGGAUCCCACACUUCUGCUUGCUCUGUGUGUGUGUGUGUGUGUCUGUGUGUGUCCCCAGCUUGUUUGCGUCUCAGGCUUCCACUGUCUCUGCUGACAGCACAACCUGUAACGACAUUUUGCUGGGGUUCGCUGCAUACAUUAGGCUGGGAGUUGGGGUAACAACUGUCAAUCACCCCAUCACCCUGACCGGUUCAGGGUCCAGAAGCAGGAAAAACACAACAGCCUACCCAGGAGCGCCUUCCAGUUCCUGCCCAAAGCUUGCCUUUCAAGACGAGCUGUAACAAGCCUGGGUUCCUAUCUCCCACCUGCUACAGAAGGAACCUCAGGUCAGGAGGGUGCAGAGGGUCCUGAGCCAGGCACCUUGGCAAGGGAGGAGACACAGAAGUCCCCGUAAAUACUUCAGUCUCUGGACCAGGCCGGGUGGGGGCGGCUCUGCAUGUCCAUGGUGUCUGAGAAGGACGGACCACCCCCAGGAAAGCAGAUGAAAAGGACACAAGCAGGUCAGAAGCCAGAGCAGCUGGGACCUCAGAAAGCUCCACCCAGCUGGCCCAAAGCACUGCAUUGCGGGCAGAAAACACUGGCCCCUGGCAUCUCAGUUCUGAAUGGGUACAAACUUUGGCUUAUUUUAGAACUUUAUUGCUUUUCCUGAUUACAUGGUAAAUGUAAAAAUCCAAAUAUUAUAAAAUAUAUGACCUUAAAAAACAUGAAAUGUUACAAAAUGCUUAUCCAAAAGAAUCAAGUAUUAAUAAAAUACACGAUAUAGGACAUUAGUAUUGGGAGACCCAAUCCCACCCUGCUGGGUCCCCCCAGAUCACUGUGUUCAAUUUGGUGUCUCCUCAGACUGUGCCCAAGCCAACACAUUCACCAAACCAAAAGCCAAGCAUGGCAUGGCUGCACACCUGUCAUUCCGACUUGGGAGAAUAAGGCAGAAGGAUCCUGAGUUUAAGGCCUGCCUGGGCUACAAAGCAGGACUCCACGUCAAAACCCACAGACAGCCCAAGGCACUGUACAUUGUAUAGCUGAGCUACUGUAUGUUCAAUAGUUCCCAUUUCUGUACCAGAAUGCCUAACUCACAACGGCUCAUGCAAUAACUGCAUGUCUACAUGUAAGGCAUGUGUUAUGAAAAGGACAGCCACCAUCUUAAAACUACUAUAAAACUACUAAAAACAGUAGUUUCUCUUGGCUCCACAUAGUGCCACAGCCUACUGUUCCCACUGAGAGGCAUUUGGAAGAUCACCACUCUGCAGUUUUAAACAAUUCAGUAGCAAGCCUUUCGCGUUAGGAACUACAAGCAUUUCACCCCAGAAGCACCAGUUUUUGAAGAGUUGAUAGAGCUGCCAUGGAGAUCAACAGGGA